CCAGAAGACCUAAUGGCGAAAAAUGGAGAGAUAAGAUGGCGAUCUGUUGUUACCUGUAAAAAUCGACGGAUUUGAUCGUUGCUGGUCGAAAUCAUGGGCUGGCAAACAGAAAUCAGAAAACAAUGAGGAAAAUCAGAUAGGAGGAGGAAAACUGUCGACCUCAAAUCCCAAACAACUAGAGCAUAAUAGAUCUAGUGACGAGAGUGGGAAAGACUGAAGAGUGAGAAGGCGAAUGAGAGCUCCCGUGCAUUCGCGUUCUCUGUAUCAACAGAGGAGCAGCCGUCCUUUUUAUUUAAUCGGAUUUUCUUUUUUCCGUAAACAAAUUAAAAAUCGUUUCCUCGGUUUCUUUCUUUGUACGGAUCGCGGUGGUGAUGGUAGAGUGUGGACGAGUGCAGGUAAGAAAACUGAGGAGUAACUGCCUAGCUUGGGUGGUAGUUAGGAUGGCCCACGCAGGAUGAAAUCGUAGCCGUCAGAUAACGGUGAUUGAUCAUAAGUCAAAGCGUAAUCCUUGUUGUGAAUUCCCGUUUUUGUUUGGAAGAUUUCAACGCCUCCG
rnacentral:lncRNA from 1 species